rnacentral:tRNA from 1 species
AGCGAGAUGGCGCAGCUGGUAGCGCGCUGGGCUCAUAGGGCAUCUUGCCUUGAAACCCAGAGGUCGUCGGAUCGAAACUGACUCUCGCUA